rnacentral:rRNA from 1 species
GACGAACGCUGGCGGCGUGCUUAACACAUGCAAGUCGAACGAUGAAGAGGAGAAACGCGAACUUCGGUUCAAAUUUCACUUCGGAUUAGUGGCAGACGGGUGAGUAACGCGUGAGCAACCUACCUCUUACAAAGGGAUAGCCUCGGGAAACCGUGAUUAAUACCAUAUGACACAUUCAUAAGGCAUCUUAAGAAUGUUAAAGCUACGGCGGUAAGAGAUGGGCUCGCGUCCCAUUAGCUAGUUGGUGAGGUAACGGCCCACCAAGGCGACGAUGGGUAACCGGCCUGAGAGGGUGAACGGUCACAUUGGAACUGAGACACGGUCCAAACUCCUACGGGAGGCAGCAGUGGGGAAUAUUGCACAAUGGAGGGAACUCUGAUGCAGCGACGCCGCGUGAGCGAUGAAGGAAUUCGUUUCGUAAAGCUCUGUUCUAUGGGAAGAAAAGGACUGUACCAUAGGAGAAAGCCCCGGCUAAAUACGUG